UCACGCCUUCUCCAGCUGGUGGUUUAAAGCCAAGCCAUGUGCUCUGAUCUGGAAGUCCGUGUCGUAAUUCUUGAGCCAUUCGCAAUGUUAAUUAUUCUGAAUUCAACAUGCAUGCAACAGUAAGAGUGAACUUCCUGCAGUGACAUUUUGAGUGAGGCCGGACAGCUUCCCACCACCUGAAGACAAAUCUGAGCAGCUCUUAUCUUCUUCAAAACCUUUCCAUCACAGUGACAGUGAGUCCUGGCCAGAAGUGCCAACCAAGGGUUUCAGCAGUGUUCACACAACAGCUAGCUCAAAGUUCAGUUCACACAGACUAAACUGCACUGGUGGUGAUGGUGCAAUGGAUAAGACGCCUGCCUUUGGUGUGAGAGACCUGGGUUCGAUCCCCCACUGUGAUGCACCCACUGCUGUGUCCCUGAGCAAGACACGUUACUCCAGAGGUGUGCAACUUCUGAUGUGUAUAGCAAUUAUGUACUAGGAUGGGUGUGUUUCACUGCGGCAGUGUGCUCUGUUAAAGAACACAGUGAACAAAUCAAAGAGAGGCUCACUACAAGUGUCACGAGGUCAGAGAUCAAGGAUUGAAGCAAUAACCAUUUCAUUUGAAAAUGAAGGACAGCAAAGGACAACGGUAUCACACACACACACAC